ensembl:snRNA U5 U5 spliceosomal RNA
AUACUCUGGUUUCUCUUCAGACAGUAUAAAUCUUUUACCUUUUGCUCAAGAUUUCCUUGAAGAGGAACAAUUCUGGGUCGUUACCCAGUUUUUUAGGCCUUGCUUCUGCAGGCU